rnacentral:rRNA from 8 species
AAAUUGAAGAGUUUGAUCAUGGCUCAGAUUGAACGCUGGCGGCAGGCCUAACACAUGCAAGUCGAACGGUAACAGGAAGCAGCUUGCUGCUUCGCUGACGAGUGGCGGACGGGUGAGUAAUGUCUGGGAAACUGCCUGAUGGAGGGGGAUAACUACUGGAAACGGUGGCUAAUACCGCAUAACGUCGCAAGACCAAAGAGGGGGACCUUCGGGCCUCUUGCCAUCAGAUGUGCCCAGAUGGGAUUAGCUAGUUGGUGAGGUAACGGCUCACCAAGGCGACGAUCCCUAGCUGGUCUGAGAGGAUGACCAGCCACACUGGAACUGAGACACGGUCCAGACUCCUACGGGAGGCAGCAGUGGGGAAUAUUGCACAAUGGGCGCAAGCCUGAUGCAGCCAUGCCGCGUGUAUGAAGAAGGCCUUCGGGUUGUAAAGUACUUUCAGCGGGGAGGAAGGUGUUGUGGUUAAUAACCACAGCAAUUGACGUUACCCGCAGAAGAAGCACCGGCUAACUCCGUGCCAGCAGCCGCGGUAAUACGGAGGGUGCAAGCGUUAAUCGGAAUUACUGGGCGUAAAGCGCACGCAGGCGGUCUGUCAAGUCGGAUGUGAAAUCCCCGGGCUCAACCUGGGAACUGCAUUCGAAACUGGCAGGCUUGAGUCUUGUAGAGGGGGGUAGAAUUCCAGGUGUAGCGGUGAAAUGCGUAGAGAUCUGGAGGAAUACCGGUGGCGAAGGCGGCCCCCUGGACAAAGACUGACGCUCAGGUGCGAAAGCGUGGGGAGCAAACAGGAUUAGAUACCCUGGUAGUCCACGCCGUAAACGAUGUCUACUUGGAGGUUGUGCCCUUGAGGCGUGGCUUCCGGAGCUAACGCGUUAAGUAGACCGCCUGGGGAGUACGGCCGCAAGGUUAAAACUCAAAUGAAUUGACGGGGGCCCGCACAAGCGGUGGAGCAUGUGGUUUAAUUCGAUGCAACGCGAAGAACCUUACCUGGUCUUGACAUCCACGGAAGUUUUCAGAGAUGAGAAUGUGCCUUCGGGAACCGUGAGACAGGUGCUGCAUGGCUGUCGUCAGCUCGUGUUGUGAAAUGUUGGGUUAAGUCCCGCAACGAGCGCAACCCUUAUCCUUUGUUGCCAGCGGUUAGGCCGGGAACUCAAAGGAGACUGCCAGUGAUAAACUGGAGGAAGGUGGGGAUGACGUCAAGUCAUCAUGGCCCUUACGACCAGGGCUACACACGUGCUACAAUGGCGCAUACAAAGAGAAGCGACCUCGCGAGAGCAAGCGGACCUCAUAAAGUGCGUCGUAGUCCGGAUUGGAGUCUGCAACUCGACUCCAUGAAGUCGGAAUCGCUAGUAAUCGUGGAUCAGAAUGCCACGGUGAAUACGUUCCCGGGCCUUGUACACACCGCCCGUCACACCAUGGGAGUGGGUUGCAAAAGAAGUAGGUAGCUUAACCUUCGGGAGGGCGCUUACCACUUUGUGAUUCAUGACUGGGGUGAAGUCGUAACAAGGUAACCGUAGGGGAACCUGCGGUUGGAUCACCUCCUUA